rnacentral:sRNA from 1 species
UCACUUCUCUCCCAACGCGUUCCCCUGGUUCACCCCCCUUCCUUCCCCUUUCUCCCCCUCUGUUAAGUCCCUCCCCCUCGCCAUUCAAAAGGGCUGGCUCGGCACUGGCUCCUUGCAGUCGGCGAACUGUCGGGGCGGGAGGAGCCGUGAGCAGUAGCUGCACUCAGCUGCCCGCGCGGCAAAGAGGGAGGCAAGCCAAACAGAGUGCGCAGAGUGGCAGUGCCAGCGGCGACACAGGCAGCACAGGCAGCCCGGGCUGCCUGAAUAGCCUCAGAAACAACCUCAACGACUCCGGCUGCUCUGCGGACUGCGAGCUGUGGCGGUAGAGCCCGCUACAGCAGUCGCAGUCUCCGUGGAGCGGGCGGAAGCCUUUUUUCUCCCUUUCGUUUACCUCUUCAUUCUACUCUAAAGGCAUCGUUAUUAGGAAAAUCCUGUUGUGAAUAAGAAGGAUUCCACAGAUCACAUACCAGAGAGGUUUUGCCUCAGCUGCUCUCAACUUUGUAAUCUUGUGAAGAAGCUGACAAGCUUGGCUGAUUGCAGAGCACUAUGAGGACUGAACGACAGUGGGUUUUAAUUCAGAUAUUUCAAGUGUUGUGCGGGUUAAUACAACAAACUGUAACAAGUGUACCUGGUAUGGACUUGUUGUCCGGGACGUACAUUUUCGCGGUCCUGCUAGCAUGCGUGGUGUUCCACUCUGGCGCCCAGGAGAAAAACUACACCAUCCGAGAAGAAAUGCCAGAAAACGUCCUGAUAGGCGACUUGUUGAAAGACCUUAACUUGUCGCUGAUUCCAAACAAGUCCUUGACAACUGCUAUGCAGUUCAAGCUAGUGUACAAGACCGGAGAUGUGCCACUGAUUCGAAUUGAAGAGGAUACUGGUGAGAUCUUCACUACUGGCGCUCGCAUUGAUCGUGAGAAAUUAUGUGCUGGUAUCCCAAGGGAUGAGCAUUGCUUUUAUGAAGUGGAGGUUGCCAUUUUGCCGGAUGAAAUAUUUAGACUGGUUAAGAUACGUUUUCUGAUAGAAGAUAUAAAUGAUAAUGCACCAUUGUUCCCAGCAACAGUUAUCAACAUAUCAAUUCCAGAGAACUCGGCUAUAAACUCUAAAUAUACUCUCCCAGCGGCUGUUGAUCCUGACGUAGGAACAAACGGAGUUCAAAACUACGAACUAAUUAAGAGUCAAAACAUUUUUGGCCUCGAUGUCAUUGAAACACCAGAAGGAGACAAGAUGCCACAACUGAUUGUUCAAAAGGAGUUAGAUAGGGAAGAGAAGGAUACCUACGUGAUGAAAGUAAAGGUUGAAGAUGGUGGCUUUCCUCAAAGAUCCAGUACUGCUAUUUUGCAAGUAAGUGUUACUGAUACAAAUGACAACCACCCAGUCUUUAAGGAGACAGAGAUUGAAGUCAGUAUACCAGAAAAUGCUCCUGUAGGCACUUCAGUGACACAGCUCCAUGCCACAGAUGCUGACAUAGGUGAAAAUGCCAAGAUCCACUUCUCUUUCAGCAAUCUAGUCUCCAACAUUGCCAGGAGAUUAUUUCACCUCAAUGCCACCACUGGACUUAUCACAAUCAAAGAACCACUGGAUAGGGAAGAAACACCAAACCACAAGUUACUGGUUUUGGCAAGUGAUGGUGGAUUGAUGCCAGCAAGAGCAAUGGUGCUGGUAAAUGUUACAGAUGUUAAUGAUAAUGUCCCAUCCAUUGACAUAAGAUACAUCGUCAAUCCUGUCAAUGACACAGUUGUUCUUUCAGAAAAUAUUCCACUCAACACCAAAAUUGCUCUCAUAACUGUGACGGAUAAGGAUGCGGACCAUAAUGGCAGGGUGACAUGCUUCACAGAUCAUGAAAUCCCUUUCAGAUUAAGGCCAGUAUUCAGUAAUCAGUUCCUCCUGGAGACUGCAGCAUAUCUUGACUAUGAGUCCACAAAAGAAUAUGCCAUUAAAUUACUGGCUGCAGAUGCUGGCAAACCUCCUUUGAAUCAGUCAGCAAUGCUCUUCAUCAAAGUGAAAGAUGAAAAUGACAAUGCUCCAGUUUUCACCCAGUCUUUCGUAACUGUUUCUAUUCCUGAGAAUAACUCUCCUGGCAUCCAGUUGACGAAAGUAAGUGCAACGGAUGCAGACAGUGGGCCUAAUGCUGAGAUCAAUUACCUGCUAGGCCCUGAUGCUCCACCUGAAUUCAGCCUGGAUCGUCGUACAGGCAUGCUGACUGUAGUGAAGAAACUAGAUAGAGAAAAAGAGGAUAAAUAUUUAUUCACAAUUCUGGCAAAAGAUAACGGGGUACCACCCUUAACCAGCAAUGUCACAGUCUUUGUAAGCAUUAUUGAUCAGAAUGACAAUAGCCCAGUUUUCACUCACAAUGAAUACAACUUCUAUGUCCCAGAAAACCUUCCAAGGCAUGGUACAGUAGGACUAAUCACUGUAACUGAUCCUGAUUAUGGAGACAAUUCUGCAGUUACGCUCUCCAUUUUAGAUGAGAAUGAUGACUUCACCAUUGAUUCACAAACUGGUGUCAUCCGACCAAAUAUUUCAUUUGAUAGAGAAAAACAAGAAUCUUACACUUUCUAUGUAAAGGCUGAGGAUGGUGGUAGAGUAUCACGUUCUUCAAGUGCCAAAGUAACCAUAAAUGUGGUUGAUGUCAAUGACAACAAACCAGUUUUCAUUGUCCCUCCUUCCAACUAUUCUUAUGAAUUGGUUCUACCGUCCACUAAUCCAGGCACAGUGGUCUUUCAGGUAAUGGCUGUUGACAAUGACACUGGCAUGAAUGCAGAGGUUCGUUACAGCAUUGUAGGAGGAAACACAAGAGAUCUGUUUGCAAUCGACCAAGAAACAGGCAACAUAACAUUGAUGGAGAAAUGUGAUGUUACAGACCUUGGUUUACACAGAGUGUUGGUCAAAGCUAAUGACUUAGGACAGCCUGAUUCUCUCUUCAGUGUUGUAAUUGUCAAUCUGUUCGUGAAUGAGUCGGUGACCAAUGCUACACUGAUUAAUGAACUGGUGCGCAAAAGCACUGAAGCACCAGUGACCCCAAAUACUGAGAUAGCUGAUGUAUCCUCACCAACUAGUGACUAUGUCAAGAUCCUGGUUGCAGCUGUUGCUGGCACCAUAACUGUCGUUGUAGUUAUUUUCAUCACUGCUGUAGUAAGAUGUCGCCAGGCACCACACCUUAAGGCUGCUCAGAAAAACAAGCAGAAUUCUGAAUGGGCUACCCCAAACCCAGAAAACAGGCAGAUGAUAAUGAUGAAGAAAAGGAAAAAGAAGAAGAAGCAUUCCCCUAAGAACCUGCUGCUUAAUUUUGUCACUAUUGAAGAAACUAAGGCAGAUGAUGUUGACAGUGAUGGAAACAGAGUCACACUAGACCUUCCUAUUGAUCUAGAAGAGCAAACAAUGGGAAAGUACAAUUGGGUAACUACACCUACUACUUUCAAGCCCGACAGCCCUGAUUUGGCCCGACACUACAAAUCUGCCUCUCCACAGCCUGCCUUCCAAAUUCAGCCUGAAACUCCCCUGAAUUCGAAGCACCACAUCAUCCAAGAACUGCCUCUCGAUAACACCUUUGUGGCCUGUGACUCUAUCUCCAAGUGUUCCUCAAGCAGUUCAGAUCCCUACAGCGUUUCUGACUGUGGCUAUCCAGUGACGACCUUCGAGGUACCUGUGUCCGUACACACCAGACCGACUGAUUCCAGGACAUCAACUAUUGAAAUCUGCAGUGAGAUAUAACUUUCUAGGAACAACAAAAUUCCAUUCCCCUUCCAAAAAAUUUCAAUGAUUGUGAUUUCAAAAUUAGGCUAAGAUCAUUAAUUUUGUAAUCUAGAUUUCCCAUUAUAAAAGCAAGCAAAAAUCAUCUUAAAAAUGAUGUCCUAGUGAACCUUGUGCUUUCUUUAGCUGUAAUCUGGCAAUGGAAAUUUAAAAUUUAUGGAAGAGACAGUGCAGCGCAAUAACAGAGUACUCUCAUGCUGUUUCUCUGUUUGCUCUGAAUCAACAGCCAUGAUGUAAUAUAAGGCUGUCUUGGUGUAUACACUUAUGGUUAAUAUAUCAGUCAUGAAACAUGCAAUUACUUGCCCUGUCUGAUUGUUGAAUAAUUAAAACAUUAUCUCCAGGAGUUUGGAAGUGAGCUGAACUAGCCAAACUACUCUCUGAAAGGUAUCCAGGGCAAGAGACAUUUUUAAGACCCCAAACAAACAAAAAACAAAACCAAAACACUCUGGUUCAGUGUUUUGAAAAUAUUCACUAACAUAAUAUUGCUGAGAAAAUCAUUUUUAUUACCCACCACUCUGCUUAAAAGUUGAGUGGGCCGGGCGCGGUGGCUCACGCCUGUAAUCCCAGCACUUUGGGAGGCCGAGGCGGGUGGAUCACGAGGUCAGGAGAUUGAGACCAUCCUGGCUAACACGGUGAAACACCAUCUCCACUAAAAAUACAAAAAAUUAGCCUGGCGUGGUGGCGGGCGCCUGUAGUCCCAGCUACUCGGGAGGCUGAGGCAGGAGAAUAGCGUGAACCCGGGAGGCGGAGCUUGCAGUGAGCCGAGAUGGCGCCACUGCACUCCAGCCUGGGUGACAGAGCAAGACUCUGUCUCAAAAAGAAAAAAAUGUUCAAUGAUAGAAAAUAAUUUUACUAGGUUUUUAUGUUGAUUGUACUCAUGCUGUUCCACUCCUUUUAAUUAUUAAAAAGUUAUUUUCGGCUGGGUGUGGUGGCUCACACCUGUAAUCCCAGCACUUUGGGAGGCCGAGGCGGGUGGAUCACCUGAGGUCAGGAGUUCAAGACCAGUCUGGCCAACAU